GCAGUCGAACGAACUCUGGUAUUGAUUGGUGCUUGCAUCAUGAUUUACAUUUGAGUGAGUGGCGAACUGGUGAGUAACACGUGGGAAACCUGCCCAGAAGCGGGGGAUAACACCUGGAAACAGAUGCUAAUACCGCAUAACAACUUGGACCGCAUGGUCCGAGUUUGAAAGAUGGCUUCGGCUAUCACUUUUGGAUGGUCCCGCGGCGUAUUAGCUAGAUGGUGGGGUAACGGCUCACCAUGGCAAUGAUACGUAGCCGACCUGAGAGGGUAAUCGGCCACAUUGGGACUGAGACACGGCCCAAACUCCUACGGGAGGCAGCAGUAGGGAAUCUUCCACAAUGGACGAAAGUCUGAUGGAGCAACGCCGCGUGAGUGAAGAAGGGUUUCGGCUCGUAAAACUCUGUUGUUAAAGAAGAACAUAUCUGAGAGUAACUGUUCAGGUAUUGACGGUAUUUAACCAGAAAGCCACGGCUAACUACGUGCCAGCAGCCGCGGUAAUACGUAGGUGGCAAGCGUUGUCCGGAUUUAUUGGGCGUAAAGCGAGCGCAGGCGGUUUUUUAAGUCUGAUGUGAAAGCCUUCGGCUCAACCGAAGAAGUGCAUCGGAAACUGGGAAACUUG
rnacentral:rRNA from 2 species